AGAAGAUCAGAAAUGAUGUAGAAGGGGAAGUCAAAUAAGUUUGCCUUCAUGUAAACUCUUUUUCUUCUCUUUCCAUUUCAGGAUGGUUUUAGUUCUUCUCCAGAGAAAGGCAUCCUGAUAAAAGGAUAUGGGCCAGCCUUUAAUUGAUUUCUCAGCUGGACAUUGGAAAUAGCUUUUGAUGGUCCUGGGCUUCUUUCAUUUGACCCAGGCUGCGCCCAGGUCAGCCAUACGCUAGAGAGGACUCCGAUAAUUCCAUACUGGAGCACCUUUACACUUUGUCACAAGGAACAUUAAGUGACUUACAGAGAGUUGACCCAUGGUAUGUAUACAGCAUGAAAAAUAUGGGUC
rnacentral:lncRNA from 1 species